ensembl:lncRNA
CAAAUGACCAGAAAACCUGGCUGCAAAACUCUCCAUCCUGCAUUUCUACCCCCCUGCAUUAGGAUUAAAGGUAAAACACCCAGCAAAGUUCAGCUGGGUCUGCAACUCAGUGACAGAGAGAAAUCAAUCCAUGAGGGUUCAGAGGGUGUAUGUCCAGAAGAGAUGCAGAAAAGAUCCCACCAUGAACCACAGGAAGGGUCAUCCCAGUAUGCCAGGCAUGUUCUUCCAUCUGUCUGUCUGCACCUCCUGAAGGAGCCUUGCCAGAAUGACCUCUUGUGUGUUACACAAUCUUUGCUGAGUAAUUACACCAAAUCUACUGUGGUUUCUUGGUGUGUAAAACAAUUCCCAUCCCUAACACCCAUAAAACACCCAUAAAAUCUCUGGGACAGGAAGGGCCAUCAAACUGAAAGGGUCUUGAGUGGAAGCUCAGUGGUGAUCAGCUGAAGCCUUUCAGAGUGAGAAUCACUUGCCAUUUCCCACAGAACAAUCAGUGUUCCUGCAGCUCCAAAGUUCAAGGUCACUUACAGUUUUCAGAAUGUGCUUGACAAAAGUUGUGCAGGGCUCACAUGGAGAGCAGCUGUGUCUCCAGAGCCCAGCUGGAGAUCGCUGUAACCUUCAGCCUGCCUGGAUCUAAUUCCCUGCUUGGAUCCUAUUAUCAUCACUCACUGGGGACACCAGAGACACAUGGGCAGCAUGGGGCCCUGCAGGAUGGAGAGCCGUGUGGCCACUGCUCUCAGGUGAGCAUUCAGUGGUGGCGAGGCUGGGAAAGGAGGGGGUGCCUGGGCCAGGGAGGCAGCGCCCCAACACCAGCCCUGGAGCAUGGCUGCUCUCCCACAUCCAUGUGCACACCCUGGCUGUGGCCAGGAGCUUCGGCUGCUGCCACACUCUCCACACUCUCACACUCUCCACACUCUCCACACUCUCACACUCUCACACUCUCACACUCACCACACUCUCACACUCUCCACACUCUCCACACUCUCACACUCUCACACUCUCCACACACUCCACACUCUCACACACUCUCACACUCUCACACACUCCACACUCUCACACUCUCCACACUCUCCACACUCUCCACACUCUCACACUCUCCACACUCUCCACACUCUCCACACUCUCACACUCUCCACACUCUCACACACUCUCCACACUCUCCACACUCUCACACUCUCCACACUCUCCACACUCUCACACUCUCACACUCUCCACACUCUCACACACUCUCACACUCUUCACACACUCCACACUCUCACACUCACCACACUCACCACACUCUCCACACUCGUGUGGACUCGAGGAGCACAUUUGCACACCUGAGGUCCACGUUUCCUGGCAUGGGCCGUAUGCCCAUGAGGGGUGCAAGAGGGUGAAAUGCACUCAUGCUGCACCUUGGGGGGAACCCACUCAAGCUGAAGCGAGCUCCCAGGGGGCGGUGGAAGGCUCUGGUGAACAUCCAGGUGCCAGAAGUCAAGCCAGGCCCAGGGAGACGCUGUGUUGCUGGAGGAUGGUCACAUCUCAGGGCAGAGAGACCGGACAGGGGUCUCUGGGAGAAUGAGCAGGCUCAGGGACAUGGUACAAGGGUCACAGUCCUGUGACAGAGCACCAACAGUGCCAAUGGCUGCUCCUCCCUCAGCAGGAGCUGCCAGGAGGACACUUCAUCCCAGGUUACAGGAAGCAAGCUUUAUUUCCAUGCCAUGAAGCAGAGCUCUUCCUCACAUACCUCAGCUGGGAAACUUUCCUUUACUAAACAAGUCCUAGGAAAAUAAAAUCCUUUACGUUCAGGGGCUGUUUCCCUUG